AAAACAAAAAUAUAAAAAGAAAAGGGGGAGGCGCUCGGCAGCCCCCCCCCCCCCCCAAAUCAGAAAAUCUCUCUCUCUCUCUCUUUUAUUUUCUCUUGAUUUCCUCUCGGAUUUUCUUCGAUUCCAAGCGAUCCGGCCGUUCGAUCGUUGAUCCGACUUCGCUUUCACCGUUAAAGUGCCCCCGAUCUACAAGGAGGUAAGUGUUUUGGCUUCAUCCUCUCUGUUUUGCUUGUUGUUUUCGUGAAAUGAGGCUUGAGGCGCGAUGGGGCUUGUUGGCCGAAUGUUUGAGGUUAGAUCUACGAAGAUCCAACCGUUGGAUUUUUGUGAUUCUUGGAUAUGAUGGUCGGUUUGCUUAAGAGGGUUGGGUGGCGGUCUUGGAUCGCUGGAAAUCGCCGGCCACGGUGGCCGGCGACGUUGGCAGUAUUUUUUUCUCUUUUUGGCUGAAACUUCGACUCUAGAUCUACGAAGAUCUAGCCGUCCGAUCUUUCUCAUUUUUGGGUAUGUUGCUCUCCUUAGUGUUGCGCACCUCGGGGUAGUUUCUGAUCGUCGAAAAAAUGGCCGGCGACCGGCGAACGGCGAUGGCCAGAUUCGCCCCUAUUUUCGGCCGAAAAUUAAAUCUCAGAUCUAGUAAGAUCUGACCGUCCGAUGGGUUUCAUUUUAAUAUAUGUUGUUAUUCGUGGCGAGGGCUUCGUAUCGGUAUAUUGGUCGGCCAUUUUUGGCUGGCCGGCGGCGGUCGCCGGCGGUGGCAGUGUGUUGGAAAGAAAAGAAAAAAGAAAAGAAAAAGAAAGAAAAGAAAAGAAAGGAAAAAGAAUAAAAGGAAAUAAAAAUAAAAAAAUAAAUAAAAUAUAAGGAAAAAGGAAAUGAGGGCUUUUGGGGUUGGGCAUGUCGGGUUAGGUUUUAGCCUAGGAUGGCGGGGCCCGAUUGGGUUUUAGGAUGGCCCAAUGUGUUGGGCAUGACUGACCCAAUUGUGGCAGCCCUUGGGCUGGCCCACUCGGCUUGUUCUCCCUUGUCGCUUGUCCGGGAACCUAGGAUGACUUGGUUAGGUUGGUCCUACUCGGGAUAUCGAUGUCAGUUUAAUUUGGGUUCUCUUUAGGUCUCCUAGAAUUGGCGAUAUGAUUGGCGAGUCAUUUUGUUGAUCGGAGUCCUAAGGACGAAGCCCUAUUAGACGACCCGAGGCCGAGUAAGACUGACCCCGAGUGCGUUCUAGGCUAGCCUAUGAUGAUGACGUGGGUUUAUUUCGAAUCCUGAUUUCUGAUGGAUUCCUUUUAUCUGAGGCUAGAAUAUUGCAAUUUAUUCCUUUUAAACCAUUUAUUAAAUUAUUAAUUAAUUAUUAAGUUUUCAAGAAAAUUUAUCAAUUUAGUUAUAAAUAUAUAUAUGUAUGUAUUUUUGAUAAAGGAGGAAUUUAGAUAAAAAAUAUAUUAUCUAUAUUAAAAGAAAACUAGUUUAUGGGUAAAUAUAUAUAUAUAUUAUGAUAUUGCAGCCUAUAAGUGGGUGUGUAGUUCCACUAUACACUUACGCGUAGCAAGCAAAGCGAGACAUGAUGACGUAGUCGAUGGCUUAGCUCGACGAAUUCCAUGACGCCAGAUUUGAAUAUUGCGCGGGCCAAGGCUCAGAUUCUCAGGAUUUUGUUUGAUCUUCUCCCCAGACUCGGACUUGAGUCAUCAUUUCCCAGGCGAGUAGACAGGAUAUGUUAUGAUUACCUUAUAUUAUGCACGUAUAUACUGUUUUAUUCAUAAAUAUUAUAACCUUGUAUAAAUUUUUAUAUGCAUAACUCGUACAUGAUUUUUAUAUGCGGAUCAUAGAAAAAUACUCUUAAAUGUUUCUAAUUUGCAUGAAAUAUUUUCAUCCUACUGGGAGAGACAUAAAUUGAAAGAUACCCUAAUUGAUUUCUUGUUUUGAGAAUGUGAAUUAUUGAAUGAUAUGGUGUAUUUUAGGCACCACAUGAAAUGAUAAAUGAUUAUGACUUGUGCAUAAAUUAGGGUAUUAUUUGCAUUAUUAUUAGAGGACUAUCUAGUAGAUUCCCUGGUGACUCACAGCAGGAAAAGAUCAUGGUACUGUGAGGCUUGGCAUGCCAAGGCCAUGAGAGACACGGAUAGUAUGUUUCAGCACUGCUAUCACGUGGGCCUUUAUGAUGAUAUUGUGUGAUGAUGAUGUAUGUGCCGAUAUAUAUACUUGUGUGCAUGUGUAUAUAGGCGUUAGGCCAGUUUCUACUAGUGUGUCCUCAGAAUCAGUGCAUGCAUCUCAUACAAAAGUAUAGG